CAGUCGAGCGGACAGAAGGGAGCUUGCUCCCGGAUGUUAGCGGCGGACGGGUGAGUAACACGUGGGUAACCUGCCUGUAAGACUGGGAUAACUCCGGGAAACCGGAGCUAAUACCGGAUAGUUCCUUGAACCGCAUGGUUCAAGGAUGAAAGACGGUUUCGGCUGUCACUUACAGAUGGACCCGCGGCGCAUUAGCUAGUUGGUGGGGUAAUGGCUCACCAAGGCAACGAUGCGUAGCCGACCUGAGAGGGUGAUCGGCCACACUGGGACUGAGACACGGCCCAGACUCCUACGGGAGGCAGCAGUAGGGAAUCUUCCGCAAUGGACGAAAGUCUGACGGAGCAACGCCGCGUGAGUGAUGAAGGUUUUCGGAUCGUAAAGCUCUGUUGUUAGGGAAGAACAAGUGCGAGAGUAACUGCUCGCACCUUGACGGUACCUAACCAGAAAGCCACGGCUAACUACGUGCCAGC
rnacentral:rRNA from 1 species